rnacentral:misc_RNA from 1 species
AACGCAACUUGCGCCCUCUGGUAUUCCGGAGGGCAUGCCUGUUUGAGUGUCAUGUAGACUCAUCUACUCAGAUUUUUAUCUGAGCAAGGUGGAUUUGGAGGUUUUGCCUUUUGGCUCCUCUCAAAAGCAUUGUGCAGACGUGAUAAGUUUCGUCGUAACGCACAUUCGCCCCUCUGGGCAACUACUUGUACUCUGACCUCAAAUCAGGUAGGGCUACCCGCUGAACUUAA